rnacentral:rRNA from 1 species
GACGAACGCUGGCGGCGUGCUUAACACAUGCAAGUCGAACGGAAAGGCCCCCUUGUGGGGUACUCGAGUGGCGAACGGGUGAGUAACACGUGAGUAACCUACCCUCGACUUUGGGAUAACUUCAGGAAACUGGGGCUAAUACCGGAUAGGAGCUCCUGCUGCAUGGUGGGGGUUGGAAAGUUUCGGCGGUUGGGGAUGGACUCGCGGCUUAUCAGCUUGUUGGUGGGGUAGUGGCUCACCAAGGCUUUGACGGGUAGCCGGCCUGAGAGGGUGACCGGCCACAUUGGGACUGAGAUACGGCCCAGACUCCUACGGGAGGCAGCAGUGGGGAAUAUUGCACAAUGGGCGGAAGCCUGAUGCAGCAACGCCGCGUGCGGGAUGACGGCCUUCGGGUUGUAAACCGCUUUCGCCUGUGACGAAGCGUGAGUGACGGUAAUGGGUAAAGAAGCACCGGCUAACUACGUG